rnacentral:rRNA from 1 species
CCCAGACUCCUACGGGAGGCAGCAGUGGGGGAUAUUGCACAAUGGGGGAAACCCUGAUGCAGCGACGCCGCGUGGGUGAAGAAGCGCCUCGACGCGUAAAGCCCUGUCAGCAGGGAAGAAAAUGACGGUACCUGAAGAAGAAGCCCCGGUUAACUACGUGCCAGCAGCCGCGGUAAUACGUAGGGGGCAAGCGUUAUCCGGAUUUACUGGGUGUAAAGGGGGCGCAGACGGCGAUGCAAGCCAGGAGUGAAAGCCCGGGGCCCAACCCCGGGACUGCUCUUGGAACUGCGUGGCUGGAGUGCAGGAGGGGCAGGCGGAAUUCCUGGUGUAGCGGUGAAAUGCGUAGAUAUCAGGAGGAACACCGGUGGCGAAGGCGGCCUGCUGGACUGCAACUGACGCUGAGGCGCGAAAGCGUGGGGAGCAAACAGGAUUAGAUACCCUUGUAA